rfam:Triticum aestivum genome assembly, contig: Triticum_aestivum_CS42_TGACv1_scaffold_002507_1AL
AUUCUACUCCCUCCAUUGCUCAAUACAUGCCUUCUAUUUGUCAAAAUAUAUACGUAUCUAGACAUGUUUUAGUAUAUAGGUACAUCCAUUUUUGGACAAAUGGAAGUCAAGUAUUUUGGAACGGAGGGAGUACACA